rnacentral:rRNA from 1 species
GAUUUCCCUAGUAACGGCGAGCGAACCGGAAAGAGCCCAGCUUGAAAAUCGCGGCGCCUCCGGCGCCUCGAGUUGUAGUCUGGAGAAGGUCCCUCUGCGGCGCGCCGGACCCAAGUUCCCUGGAAAGGGACGUCCGAGAGGGUGACAACCCCGUCGAGUGCGGAGUGCGCCGCUCCACGAGGACCUGUCUGCGAGUCGGGCUGUUUGGGAAUGCAGCCCUAAGCGGGUGGUAAAUUCCAUCCAAGGCUAAAUAUGGGCAAGAGACCGAUAGCGAACAAGUACCGCGAGGGAAAGAUGAAAAGGACUUUGAAAAGAGAGUUAAAAAGUGCUUGAAAUUGCUGGGAGGGAAGCGAAUGGAAGCUGCGGGUGCGCCCCGGUUGGAUGCGGAACGGCCGUGAACAGCKGCUGGUCCGCCGCUCAACGCGGGGCGCUGGUCAGCGUGGGCCGUCGCGGCGGGACAAGAGCGGGGAUUCGCUUCCCGCCGAUGCCGCCGCGGCGGCCGAGGAACGAAGCGCGCGCGCUGUCUAGGCAGCGCGUGGGGUUUUUUUUAACUCCAACUGCGCGCUCGGGACGCUGGCGUAUUGAGCUCUUCAUCCGACCCGUCUUGAAACACGGACCAAGGAGUCUAACAUGUAUGCGAGCCGGUGGGCGGCAAACCCAUUGAGGCGCAAGUAACCUGACAGGUGGGACCCCGUUCAUUUUGCGGGAGCACCAUCGACCGACCGUGAUCUUCUGUGAAAGGUUUGAGUGUGAGCAUACCCGUUGGGACCCGAAAGAUGGUGAACUAUGCCUGAGCAGGGCGAAGCCAGAGGAAACUCUGGUGGAGGCUCGUAGCGAUACUGACGUGCAAAUCGUUCGUCAGACUUGGGUAUAGGGGCGAAAGACUAAUCGAACCAUCUAGUAGCUGGUUCCCUCCGAAGUUUCCCUCAGGAUAGCUGGAGCUCGCGCAAGAGUUUUAUCAGGUAAAGCGAAUGAUU